UACGUAGGGAGCGAGCGUUAUCCGGAUUUAUUGGGUGUAAAGGGUGCGUAGGCGGCUUCUUAAGUCUGUAGUCUAAGCCCGGAGCUUAACUCCGGUUCGCUACAGAAACUGAUUAGCUUGAGUAUGGUAGAGGCAAGUGGAAUUUCUAGUGUAGCGGUUAAAUGCGUAGAUAUUAGAAGGAACACCAGUGGCGAAGGCGACUUGCUGGGCCAUCACUGACGCUGAGGCACGAAAGCGUGGGGAGCAAAUAG
rnacentral:rRNA from 1 species